GUGCCAGCAGCCGCGGUAAUACGUAGGGUGCGAGCGUUAAUCGGAAUUACUGGGCGUAAAGCGUGCGCAGGCGGUUGUGUAAGACAGGCGUGAAAUCCCCGGGCUUAACCUGGGAAUGGCGCUUGUGACUGCACGGCUGGAGUACGGCAGAGGGGGAUGGAAUUCCGCGUGUAGCAGUGAAAUGCGUAGAUAUGCGGAGGAACACCGAUGGCGAAGGCAGUCCCCUGGGCCUGUACUGACGCUCAUGCACGAAAGCGUGGGGAGCAAACAGGAUUAGAUACCCUGGUAGUCC
rnacentral:rRNA from 1 species